GACAGAGGGUGCAAACGUUGUUCGGAAUUACUGGGCGUAAAGCGUGUGUAGGCGGCCGCGUAAGUCGGAUGUGAAAGCCCUGGGCUCAACCCAGGAAGUGCACUCGAUACUGCGUGGCUCGAGUACUGGAGAGGUUGGUGGAAUUCUCGGUGUAGAGGUGAAAUUCGUAGAUAUCGAGAGGAACACCGGUGGCGAAGGCGGCUCUCUGGGCCUUACCUGACGCUGAGGAGCGAAAGCGUGGGUAGCGAACAGG
rnacentral:rRNA from 1 species